UAGCCUCUGAGAAUGACAGCAAAUUUAUUUUCUUUAUUCCUAUACUCCAAAUGUGGAAAAUUUUUGGAGACCUGAACUGAACAAUAACCCUGUGGUUUGUAAUUUUUGUUUGUUCCUUCCUCUUUUAAAAAUAAUAAAAGUUAAAAACAAAAAAGGGCUUGGUAUCCGUGGAUCAUGAUUGAAGUUUUAUCUUUAUUUUCUGGAAUUUUUUUUAGCUACCUUAAAACCCCCUUGGCAAUAAAAUGUCCAUUUGAGUGUGUCUGUUUGUACAAUAGAAGUUGUUCGAUAUCUUGUUUAUUGAUAGGAUAUGGGACUGACGAGGGAGACUGAUAUCAGGGGUGGGAACGAACCGGACAGGGACAAUCCUGUCUUUCCCUGCCCUUCUGCCAUUCCCAUUUUGCUUCUAUAUUUUGUUAUGGUUCUUAUUGUCCUUAGGGCAUAAAAAUUGUUGUGUGGAAAUCAUGUCUGGGCUAAACUCAGUUAGAGUUGAAUCCCGUCAAUUGCCCUUAAAUGCUAUUAACUCUAAUGUGAUUGCUUGCUCAACCUACUAAAUUGAAAAUUGGGUGACCAAAGCCCGGGUGAUAAGUUUUUACAUUUUACUUGUGUUGGUGUCCAGCCAAUCUCUUUCCAAACUGUUCGGUUGGGUUUGGUUAGAAUGGGGCCUAAUGACCAUGUUUGCUUGUACCGGGUGUUAUUUGUAUUUAUGCUUGUAUGUUUCUUUACUUCUCUUGAGUUGAUCAGUAUUAAGACAGUUGCUAAAACUUACUAAACCUUUAUUCUUUUACACUUUUGAUAAUGAUUGUUGCUUCCUAUGUAAUGGUUAUUCUAUCUCAUGUAGUUGUGAAUGCAUAAAAUAUCUGAGGCUUAAGCGUGAAAGUACAAAAAUUUGAAAUUGAAACUAAGGUCCAAUUAAUUGAAUUGUACUAAUUGUUUCCAUUUUCAAACAUGUAAGUUAUCUUCAAUUUCUAACUUAUGCAGUUACUCUAUUCUUAUAAUUUAUGGUAAACUUACUUUCCGAUUUUGCAAACAUUCCCACCUAAUUAGUCAGAUUUUUAUUUUGAGGAUCAUAAAUUAAUAGCAUUAUUCCUGAAAAUCCAGAACAAAUUUUUAAUUUUUGAGUGAACAGCGAUCUUCUUGUGCCUCUAGUUAUGUUUCCAAUAAGACUUUGACGCUGAAAAUGUGGAAAGCUGAGCUGCAGAACAUGUUAAGAUCUCUUGAUUUGCUCAUAUAUAUAUAUAUAUAUAUUUGUUUUUCUUUCAUGUGUUGCUUUUAUCAAAUUUUUUUUAACAUAGAUAUUCAUCAACAAACUUGUGUUUCUCCUGUAACUUUGUUCACUUCUCUCAGGAAACUUUUCAUUUGUUUCACAUCAAUACUUCAAUUAAUUACCAAGUUUGCAUCUCAAAUUGUAUGGAGCCUUAAAAAAUCACUUGAUACAUACAGCUAACUUUGUGGGAUUUAAAGUUGCAUCUUAGAGUAUCCAAUAGAUACAAGAUCAAUCAAGGAUCUCAAUAAAAAGGAUCUAGGACUUAAAAAUGAGAAUGAUAUAUGUUUAAAUUUUUAACAAUAUGCCAUCAAGUAUUCUUCUCCCAUUAUAUUGGAAAGGGAAUUUGCAUGGCAAAUUGAUGAAAUUGGAUAAGCAAGAAUUCUGUAGGAGUCAUACAACACUAGCAAGGAGGCAAGAGUGAGGAUUUGGAAUUUAACGCAGGACCACUCGUUCUUGAUGAUGAGUGUCAAAAACAACAUGGAGGUAAUGCUCUUUUAUCAUGUCACAAACAUGGAGGUGCUCAUCAACUGUCAUAGGAACAGAAAGCUUCUGGGUUGAGUUAGAGCUUUCGAUUGCCACUUCAACAUGACGUGCCACAAACUGGGAAAGACAAGAAAAAAGCCCGUCCUGUUACCAAAGACAGAUUAAUCAAUAAGAUGUUCCCCCGUGGAGAUUCUGUAAUCAUUGUGGUCAGAAAUCCUUUUGAGAUAGACAUAAUAGCUGUGAAACCCUUUUUCCUACAACUUACCAUCUUACCAGUCAGUUGAAAUAGUACUUACUUUAACUGGUAAAUUUUAUAACACACAGAUGAAUACUAAUUGAAGUAUGAUAUUUCUCCACUUGUGGAUAUAUGAAGCUCCUAUCUGAAUUGCUUUCAGUAUUACCUUUAUCUAUCAAUUAUUAAAUAUUUA